rnacentral:rRNA from 1 species
CGUGACCUUCAGACGAAGCACCGGCUAAUUUCUUGACAGCAGCCGCCGUAAUACGAAAGGUUCAAGCGUUAAUCGGAAUUACUGGGCGUAAAGCGCGCGUAGGCGGUGUGUUAAGUCGGAUGUGAAAGCCCAGGGCUCAACCUUGGAAUUGCAUCCGAUACUGGCACGCUAGAGUGCAGUAGAGGCAGGUGGAAUUUCCGGUGUAGCGGUGAAAUGCUUUUUUGAUAAGGAAGGANACNNAANCAGNUGGCGAAGGCGGCCUCCUGGACUGACACUGACGCUGAGGUGCGAAAGCGUGGGGAGNCANAAAGGAUAAGAUACCCUGGUAGUCCACGCUGUAAACGANUGUCUAAUAGUCGGCGGGGUCCUUAGUGACUUUGGUGGCGCAGCUAACGCGAUAAGUAGACCGCCUGGGGAGUACGGCCGCAANGGCUUAAAACUCAAAUGAAUUGACGGGGGCCCGCACAAGCGGUGGAGCAUGUGGUUUAAUUCGAUGCAACGCGAAGAACCUUACCAGGUCUUGACAUCCUCGGAACUUGGCAGAGAUGCCUUGGUGCCUUCGGGAGCCGAGUGACAGGUGCUGCAUGGCCGUCGUCAGCUCGUGUCGUGAGAUGUUGGGUUAAGACCCGUAACGAGCGCAACCCUUGUCCUUACUUGCCAACACGUCAUGGUGGCAACUCUAAGGAGACUGCCGGUGAGGAAGCGGAC